rnacentral:rRNA from 1 species
AGUGAACGCUGGCGGCAGGCCUAACACAUGCAAGUCGAGCGGCAGCGCGGGGGCAACCCUGGCGGCGAGCGGCGGACGGGUGAGGAAUGCGUCGGAAUCUGCCUCUUUGUGGGGGAUAACGUAGGGAAACUUACGCUAAUACCGCAUACGACCUACGGGUGAAAGUGGGGGACCUUCGGGCCUCACGCAGAGAGAUGAGCCGAUGCCGGAUUAGCUAGUUGGCGGGGUAAAGGCCCACCAAGGCGACGAUCCGUAGCUGGUCUGAGAGGAUGAUCAGCAACACUGGAACUGAGACACGGUCCAGACUCCUACGGGAGGCAGCAGUGGGGAAUAUUGGACAAUGGGCGCAAGCCUGAUCCAGCCAUGCCGCGUGUGUGAAGAAGGCCUUCGGGUUGUAAAGCACUUUUGUCCGGAAAGAAAAGCUUCCGAUUAAUACUCGGGAGUCAUGACGGUACCGGAAGAAUAAGCACCGGCUAACUUCGUGCCAGCCGCCGCAGUAACAC